UGUAGCAGCCGGCUUGCUGGCGAUGGUGUGUCAGUUAACGCAUCAGUGUCUGACACUCCAUCGCCAGCAAGCCGGCUCCUACA
rnacentral:misc_RNA from 1 species